rnacentral:rRNA from 1 species
GGGUGUAAUCAUACCAACACUAAUGUACUGGAUCUUAUCAGAACUCUGAAGUUAAAUGUGCUUGAGUGAGAAUUGUACUACGAUGGGUGACCUCCUAAGAAAUCCUCAUGUUGCACCCC